UUGGUGGAUGACGAGUUAAUCUGGAUUAUAAAACCUGGUCAGCUGAUGGUUAACAAGUUAAUCUGCAUGAUACAGACUGGUCUGUUGGUGGUUGACGAGUUAAUUUGGAUUAUAAAAACGGGUCAUUUGGUGGUUAACAAGUUAAUCUGCAUGCUACACACUGGUCUGUUGGUGGUUAACAAGUUAAUCUGCAUGAUACACACUGGUCUGUUGGUGGUGGACGAGUUAAUCUGUAUUAUAAAAACUGGUCAUUUGGUGGUUAACAAGUUAAUCUGCAUGAUAAAAACUGGUCAAUUGGUGGUUAACAAUUAAUCUGCGUGAUAAAAACUGGUCAAUUGGUGGUUAACAAAUUAAUCUGCCUAAUAAACACCUUCAUCACAUGAUCUACAUCAAUUCUGUAGCACAGAUAAUAUAAAUAUUCACUUGGAAUUAUCAUGAUCGUGUAAUAAAAUCUGUAGAAUUAAUCCAAUUACUCAGAAAUUGUAGGUUGCACUGAAGAAAUGUGUAUUCAAACAAGUUCUUAAAUAAAUUGGUGUAGUAUACUGAUUUUAAUGUUUUAACUGUUUACAGUGUUUUUACUCUCAUUAUUCAUAGAAGAAACUUUAAAAUUUGUGAAACUUUGAGGUAGAUUUCUGUUUCAUAAAUAAAUGAUAUUGUGAACUUCA